rnacentral:sRNA from 1 species
GGGAAGGAUGAGAAGCUUCGACUAAGGUUCGACUCGAGCGAAGCGAGAGAACGUUGCCGCAGGCAACGGCCCGAAGGGCGAGGCGCUUUAGCGCCGAGUAAUCCUUCCCCCACCAUCA